rnacentral:lncRNA from 1 species
ACAAUUCAAACCCCCAAACUUUCUCAGUCGACCCACCAUCAAAACGCACCGUUUCACCAUGCCUUCCUCCGAUUCCUUCUUUUCCGUAAUUUCGCAAUGCACAAUUUACCUCCACCAGAAAUCCACAAUCAAAUCCCUGAAGCUCUCCGUCUCUGAUCUUCCUAUGCUCUCCUGCCACUACAUCCAGAAGGGCGUCCUCCUCGAAUCCCCGUCCUGCUCCUUCGCCGACCUCCUCCCCUCCCUCAAACACUCCCUCUCCCUCGCCCUCUCCCACUUCCCCGCUCUCGCCGGCCGCUUCGAGACCGACGACGACGGCCGCGUCCACAUAGUCUGCAACGACGCCGGCGUCAAUUUCGUCCAUGCCAAAGCCAAGACCCU